rnacentral:rRNA from 1 species
UACGUAGGGUGCAAGCGUUGUCCGGAAUUAUUGGGCGUAAAGAGCUCGUAGGCGGUCUGUCACGUCGGCUGUGAAAACCCGAGGCUCAACCUCUGGCCUGCAGUCGAUACGGGCAAACUAGAGUGUUGCAGGGGAGACUGGAAUUCCUGGUGUAGCGGUGAAAUGCGCAGAUAUCAGGAGGAACACCGGUGGCGAAGGCGGGUCUCUGGGCAACAACUGACGCUGAGGAGCGAAAGCGUGGGGAGCGAACAGG